CAAUUUGUCCUAACUCCAAAUGAAAGAUUUAAAAAAACAUCCAAAAAGUUCCCAUGAAGAACAACCGAGAAGAAAAAUUAAAUCCAUAAUCACGCAUUAAACCCCAUUCAAGUAACAUAUUUGCGAUUUCUUCAAAAAGAACCGAGAAGAAAAAUUAAAUCUAUAAUCACGCAUUAAACCCCAUAAAAGUUGAACAAAAAACCAAACCCAUCCAAAUUGGAACCUCAAUCCACAAAAAUAAAUUCAAUAUACAAAACCCGUG
rnacentral:lncRNA from 1 species